rnacentral:tRNA from 1 species
GCCUCCUUAGCUCAGUGGCAGAGCACUAGUCUUGUAAACUCGGGGUCAUGAGUUCAAUUCUCAAAGAAGGCA